AACAGCGCUCUGCCACGUCAAGCUUACGAGUCGCCGCCGUGCCACCCGGUAGGAAAGAUGCGUCCACUGCGCCGGGACAGAGUCCGCCUGCGCGUUUUCGGGUGAAAAAGUCUCGGCGGACCUCAGCAUCGGCCUCUCAGGGCCGGGGGUUCUUCUGGGGGCCGAAGAGAAGAGGAAAAAAAACAGCGCUGACCGUCACGGCCUGGCCGUCCGCUGUCCGGCUGCCCUGAUAUCACUCCGUCCCACAAGGAGAAGACGGGAGAAGCGUGAGGAGAAACAUCUGUGCAGAGGCUUCAGGACGGAUGAGAGCCCUGUGAGGAGGCAGAGCGGGUAAUGGAUUUCACAGAGACGACCCUGUCUGAUCUGGACCGUGGAGGAUGAAUCACCAGACUAAGUCAAAGCAGACAACUUCUGACUUCACUAUCAGCUGUGAUUUUGCUAUUAUAGGAGGCAGGAAGCUGCGCAGAAGCUGCCAAUCACAAGGCAUCAUUUCUCAGCAAUCACUGCCAAACCCUCCCACGAUCGGUCGGACGGGCCUGAUGUCUCCACAGUAGCCGCAAAUAGUGGACGUAAGUUGGGAGUAACAGUCAAUUCUGUUCGCUUUGGAACAAACGGAUAAGUAUGUAAACGUGUGGAUAAAAUCUUUUCAUUUGAGUGCAUAUAUAAUGUGUGCAUAUACCAUUUUAGCUUAACCCCAUAAACUCCAGGGGUUCAAUUCUUCACUCUUAACUACAUAAUUUAUGUAUUAGUUUCAUAGUAUUUCAUAGUGGAUUCAUA